rnacentral:tRNA from 1 species
GGGUGGGUGACUCAGUGGUCAGAGCUUAGGGUUUGUGACCGAAAGGUCCCGAGUUCGAAUCUCGCAAGAGGCCA